UUAAGAACCAAGGAGGAGGCAUGGAAUGGGAACUGAUACCAAGAUCAUCAACACAAGCAAUGUGAAGGCUGGGCCUGCAGAACGAUGUUGCAGAGGGUCACAUGACGGGGAAGCAGCACUCUCAUUUGUCCAGAUUCCGGCUGCCCUCCACUUCCUCCCGGACACACCCACAUGACAUCACUACCAGUAGCAGCGGCCGGUCUGGAUGUGGAGAUGGGGUGAAAGUGAUGACAGCGACCUCAUCAAUCUUUCUGCAGUGAAGGAAGUGCCGGGUGUCUACAGGGGUGGGGUUAGUGACGUGUGCCAGAUCGGUAUGGAAGACGAUUAUCGCCUCAUAAUGAAAAUGUUGACAGUCGAAUGGAUACUUUGCUUACAGAUGCAACGUGAAGUGAUGAUAUAUCAGCCUGCCUUUGUGUCUCCCCUUCAGCUGACGCCUAGAAUUAUUUAAAAUGAAGAAUUUGCAUUGAAAGCUUUGGGUGAUGCUUAGAAUAACAAAGUAAAAAGCCUGUAUUUUUGGCAGAUUUGGAACAUAUUUCAGAUUUAGUGCAUUUUUGGCGUCGUGCUGUUUCCACCUGCAAAGAAGACCGUGUAUCAGUAGCUGAAUACAGGGGUCUCCUGACUCCCCUUCACAUCCAGAACAGAAGCUCUCUGCUUGUCUGAAAGUCGUUUAUUUCUGAAUAAUCCCCCCCGGAGUUUCGUCAUCAUGCUUCCUGAGAGACACCCCCAUCUACACUUUCUAAAGCGGCAUCUUAAGCUCUGCAUUUCCAUUUCUCUAUGUCACUGUAAGUUUUAUGGAAAAUAAGAAUUCUUUAAAGUUGUUUUCCAACUAAACUCACUCUCCUUUUUCGCCUUCUGGUAUGUUAAUCUCCAUUUACCUGGGGGCUCCACCUUAAACAUACUGUCUAUGCCUGUCUAUGCUUUUUAAAUCUGUAUUUCAGCAUUCUGCCUGUAAUUUCUGAGAAAUGAGUUUUAUUUAUUUAUUCCAGGUGCCAAUGCCUUCUAUUUAGUGAUGGCAGUUUCUGAAACUAUGAACAUUUUAUUGCUGACCUAAUGGUAAGUAUUGCAUCAAGAUUGUCUCUGCUUCUGAUAUUAUGACUGAUUUGCUCCUAACAAGAACGGCCUCGCAGGACCAUUUUAUGUGUCACGAAAAACAAAAGUAAUACAACAUUACAUCAAAUAUUUCAUCAAAAUCUGCUUCAUUUGGGAUUGGUGGGAGACAGAGGAACAAGCACUAGUCUCGGAGUGAGAUUAUGUAGAUGUACGGCAAAGUCAUUUGUCUGACUUUCAUCAUGGUUUCCUAGGAUACCUGUAAGGUUUAAAAGCACAGCGUAUCACUUAAGUACGAAACGGAAAAGAAACCGCUUUGAUGAUCGCAAGCAUGGAAAGUAUUUUUGGUUUUUCCCGAAGAGAAAAGGCGAAGAGUUUGGUUUGCUAAGUAAAAGCAUAUUGUGAGUGUUUCUCAGGUGCUUGGAAAUGUUGUAAAAUUUCAUUGCAUUCUUCAGAUUUGACAGUCUCAGGGAGCUUGGAGUAAAUCAGCGCUUGGAAUCAAGUGCCAAGCACGAAUCACAGAUAAGUAAAAAGCUAAUAAGUGAAAAGCUAGGCACGACCUAGAGUUCACCUCGUCAUUCCCAAAAGGCCGAGCCAGCAGCACUAGUUACGGCAGCUGAUGCAGACAGUUCACCACCUUAUGCUCUCCCCAUUUUUUAACAGCGACACUUAUAAUAGCAAACUCAUGUGCACCGGCAAGAUGUCGGAAAUAUCAGGUAACGCAAUGACCAUGAUUGAGUGCAAACAGGACCCAGAAAGUAACAAUUGAACAAAAUCCGUGAAUAUUUCACAUGAAUCACGGUUGUUUUCUGAUUGUUCCUUGUCUUGUGAUUUCACCAGCAGCUCUGAGUGAGUUUUUUGUGUUAAUACCAGUAAUUUUGCUUUGGUCUUCAUGCAGGCAGGUCUGAGGGCUCUCGAAGGAGUGCCAACAUCUGCUCCUUCUGAAUGACGCAGGCCGUUUACUGUCCAUCUCUCCAGUUGAAUCUGGGUCUCUAUCGCUUGACAUGCAGAUGAGAGCGAGCUUGACAGUGAAGGGCAGCGACCUGCAGCUGGGGCUUAAGGGCCCAGUGAUGUGACUCUUCCACCGAAGCCAGGCUCAAACUGGCAACCUUCCGGCCACCGGCACUGAGACUGAGCCCACUGAGCCACACACUGCUUCUGAUGGAUACUGUUUCUUACAUAGUUGUUUGGCAAUUUUAAUUUUAUGGGGUGUUUUCAAUACAAAUUCAUAUCUAUCUGUCUUCCAGUCUCAGCCUGGAGUCUGUCACAGAAAGCACAUGGUAUAAAAGAGGAGGACAACCUCGAUUGGGUGCCAGUAUCAAUUCAUAGCAAUAAAAACGUCACUUAUAAAAACGUCAAAAUAAGAUAGGUGAUGCAUAAUAUCAUAGACUAUUAAAGUAGUGUUGGAUUAACUUUUCAGCCUCUUUUAAGGUGACCAGCUCCAAAUGUACAUGACUACAAUGUAUCUGACAAUCUUCUUUGGAUCAAAGCUGAAUUUUCCCACAUCAUCUGUCAUUCGGUCUAACAAUACAGCUGUCUUGUUAGCAAAAUUAAAUAUUUCCAUACACAAAGUAUAAAAACUAUAUUAAAGAAUAUUCUAGAUAUUGAGUAAAAACCCGCCAAAGCUUAACACAAAUGCUGAAUCAGCGAUAAACUGAGUCCGAUUAAAAUCAUGGGUGAUCAUGAAACAAAAACCACAUUGAACAAUCACACUGUCAUCUCUCACACGGCUCUGCACUGUGCCCUACAUCAGUCUAUCACACAAACUGGACCAUCGAUCGACAACUAAACCAUCAUAGAACAUAGUAAGGAGCCCUCUGAGAACUCGGAGUGUAUUAAUGCGGCUCUGGUAACCAAGGACGUGUGAGACCCCCACCCCCCGCUCCCCCAUCGUCACCUGAACUUGACUGCACUAAAAAUCAAUAUACUGGACUUGUUCACCAUGCCAUUUAUCCACCGUACCAUGUGGAUCGGCUGUUAGAAACUCAUUUCACAGGUCAGAGCGUCCUUACUGUACCAUAGAACCUGCUGUGUGAUUUACACUAAUCAUUUAAACAAGAAACCUCCAGCAGCUAAAACACUUCUGGAAUUAUUCUCUGCUGAGUGCUGACUGUCUGCUGCUGUAAUUUUCCCCAGGCAGUGCCCUGUAUUCCCACUGAUCGAUGUGGCGGUUAGUUUUAAUAUUGCAACCAGGAAAAUGGCCAUAAAAGGAAAAGAACUGGUGAUUCACUCUUGAAUUUUGUGCAGGCGGAUACAAUUAAGUAAGGGUAACGGAGCUGUUUUGUAUAUUUACUAGGUUGAGCGUUGGCGGGGGAGGCUGUUGUUCAAUAUUGUGAAUAUUCACUUUAAAAAACAAAAAAGUAACUCGGAAUAAACAAAAGUAAAAGCUUAUGAACUAAAACGACGCAAAUAAUGCUCAGUCAUAAGUGAUUUGUCCUAUGAAAAGCAAAACUAAUUUAACGGGAUUAGCAGGCAACAGCUUGCACUGGUAAUAUAUAUAAAAGGUCUUCUGUAGUUCAUUCAAUCAUGCUUAAUGGCAUACGAAUGCAAAAUCAGGAGCGUAAAGUAUAUGGGAGCAUCAUGACUCAUUUCACACAUCAGCUUUUUGUAUUUAUGAACAGUAAAUCAGCAAAGUGCUGUAGCUCUAACCAUGCCUCUUGCUGUAUGACUGAGUUACCAGGCCAAUGGACAUUUCGGAAUGGAAAUGUCAUUAAAACGCUGUCCCAGACUUCCCAUGAUCAUCUAUCCAUAUGUGAUUAGGUUUAAUAAUCAGAAUUUCUAAUAGGCUUGCACUCUAUAACGGACACCAUGGUAAUAUGCAAAACAGCAAAUACUGGAGCAUCACAUACAAGAUUUACGGCUGAAAAGACACCAUGGCCCAAUCCCAAUGCCCCCACUGAGGCCUAAACCCUGAACCCUCACAGGCUUAACUGACAUCACCCGUUAAGGGAUUGAGUGCGAGAGGCUUCAAAAGCUUAAAAUGGCAUUAAUAGGAACAGGACAUCACGUUGUGACAUAUAACGUUACCUUGACAAUGCCAAAACAUGUUCCUUAUUAUUGUGGUUUUGGGACUUUUUAUUUUAAGAUUUACACUUUCUUCACAGCCAAAUUUUUCUUCACUGCCUAAUUUGAACGUGUUCCAGGCUCUUGCCUUACAGAGUGGACGAGAGGUAAUUGUCAAAUAAUCAAUGUGCUCUUUUUUGUCAAAGAAGCACCUUUAAGCAAUAAAUAAAUUAUUUCCAUUCCCCUGGUAACCCCAUGUUUCAUGUCACAAUACUAUGGACUGUGGGUAAUUCCCUUAGGCAAAGUCUCCGAAAUGCAGACCUACAGAAAGUGUGCAUAAACGGCUGAAAAUGCCUGUGACAGAGAGCCCUCAUGCACUUGACAAUUUGAAAAUGGGGAAGCCCUAAGCCCUCCGGGACCAAGCAGGAAUGUGCCUUAAAGUUCAUGGGCCCUAUUUUCCACUGGCGUAAAAUGCGACGCAAACUGGUUUUGCUAGUUUGGUAUCAGCGAAUUGCUCAUUAUCACGUCAUGCGCCACGUAGUUAAAAUAGCAAAUGAUUUUGCGCCUGCUUUCCGCUUGCAGGACUGGGCGCAUUGUCAGCGCAUAUCUAUUUUAAUGCAAUGUAAGGACUUCCAACCAAAAAUCAUUCGAGAUAUUUAAAUACAUCAGGUGGAACAUUACAAUGUAGCCCUCAGAAGGUGGUUGCAUUCUCUGUGGCAUGUUGUAUGUUGCGUAACAUUGCCAUGCGUGAUUGAGGUCUUUUGGACAUAAAUUUGGAUACAUUACAGGGCUCUAUUAGGCGUGGUGCUGAACUGAAUGAGCUGAAUCGUCUGUAGCCUGGUAAGGAACCUAAAUUGUGACAAGUACAAAAAUAACAGCCCUAUUGCGUUUAAUUCGAACAUUUAAAAACACAUUAAAACUGUAGGCUGUGUUUUGUUUGAAUAAAGAUCGCACUUUUAUUUAUAGUUUGCGAACUGCAAACCUAAAACUUAAAUAAGCAUAAUUAAGUCCCAGUUCCUGGCCGCUGUGCCCCUUCAGCAGCGAGCUUCAGUUUUACCCGUUUUACAUCAUUAUACCCAGGGAUGGACAUAACUGGCUUUGGAUUUGGAUCGGAGUCUGAAGGCCCUACGCAGCUUGUGAAUUAGCCAAGGAAACGAGUCGUGGAUCCAGAUCGUGCCUUUGCGACUCGUCCAGAUCAGUUUCCCAGGCCUGGGUUUCCUGUAAUAACAUGUGGACAAUAAUUAGACCAGUGGAAAAGCACAGAAAGGCGAGCUGCAGCAAGAACAAAGCAGUGGUCUGAGAGCAUUAACAUGCAGAGGCAUGCCAAAGCAGGGGUGGGGGGUGGUCUGUCAGCUGAGUAUAGGGGCUGGAAAGUAAGGGGAAUAACAGGUGAGAGGAGACAUUUAAAAUAGGAGUGAUUUCUCCCCCCCCCCCCAAUCACCAUAUAUGCAUGUAAAAUAAGCUGCCGUCCCCUUCAGGGCUCUGUUAACGUUUGUGCCUGUGACAUACUGCAUGCUUUACCUCCGUGUGUAACUAUGCACAGGUACUCAUGCUGUAGUGGCUCUUACACCCAAGGGAAAUGACCACUGCUGUGUCCUGAAUUUCCCACAUGGGAGUGAUAAAUAUUUUGACGAAUAUCUGUGCCCCAUGUUUUGGAGUGUGUUAUGUGAUGUUUUAGGAAUGUGGUGUUUAUAAGUGAUGUUGAUGUCUGGGGCUCUUUUUCUGUAGCAAAAAUGAGUGUUUUCCCUCUCUGAGCCACCGCAGUUGCUGGUCCUGGGUCCUACACACAGGAGCAGUUGAACCUGGGUUCUGAAAGCAAAUCGCUUUCUUCUGUUCAAAAAAACGUUACGCAGACCGACAAAUCCGAAUAAUCUUGAAUUCCAUUCCAAGUCAUGAGUGAACUCUGUGAUUUGUCAGUAGGCUACACCAGCAGUAAUUAAAGAUCUAUAGCUGGAAUGUUGUACUUUAAAUCCUGCUAGAUGGUUGAGUGAAGGAGUCUAAAUUUUCUCAGGAUUUUCUCAGCAUGCCGAUUGUACAUAAUGAAUGAGGUAUGUGAAUGGUCCAAAUGGCACACAAUAAUUCAUGCUAAUGUGAUGUGUCUCGAUAAAUGAUUUAGGGUCGAUUCUUUCAUAGUGGUAAGAUAAUAAAUGAAUAAUGUAGGAAAGAUCAUAAAGGUGAUUUAAAAAAAAAAAAAAACACUGACUGGACUGAGUGGAGUUUUUUAAAAGAAUUACUGACGUGGAAGAUCUUAAGAUUUCAGACAGCAUAAAUCAGCUUGUUUUCACCCGUACAUGAGUACAGCACUUUCUGUAAUAAUACGGGACUGACUGUAGAUUUAAAAUGUAUUUCAAUAAUCAAUUUUGUAUCUUGAAAGUUAAAGGAAAUAAAAAACAGACUGCGAAAGUUAAAGUUCACAUGCAUUGAUUGUCCUUGCCUGCGAUAUAUGGCUUUAAUGCUUUGGAAACCAGCCGAACCAGGAUGGCAAAAGAUCGUUCUUUAUUAUUCUGGAAAGAAUGGUGCUAUCAUCAGGAUCAGUCCCUACUUUGUCCCAUUCUGUCAGUUGUUCCAAGAUUCUCCGUUUGGCCACUGGGUGUCGCUGGUCACCCCGUUCUGCCCCCUGCAUUUUACUAGGUUUUUCCCCACUCUCAGUUCCCGAAGUUCUCCUUGUUCCCUGUGUAGCUAAGUGGGCUAUGCACCUGACUGAUUAACCAUUUAUUCCAAACUAUUGUGAUUUCAAGGCUGGCCAGUCAACAACUGUGGAUGUUUUGGUGAUUUGUGCCACAGAACUCUGUUUUUCUCAACCCUGUGUUAAUCAAGUGCCUUGUAUUUAUAUACUUCUGCUUUGAUCAUUGCCUUAGUAUCACUGUUUACCCUGUCUGUGCCCAGUUCGUAUCUAUGUCCUGUUUCUUGUAUCUCCUGGUGUCUGAGUCCCUAGUGCAUGAAUGAUUAUUAUUGACCCUCAUCUGUCA